GGUCUAUAGAGGAUGGAUCUAUAGAGGAUGGAUCUAUAGAGGACGGGUCUAUAGAGGACGGGUCUGUAGAGGACGGGUCUGUAGAGGACGGGUCUGUAGAGGACGGAUCUAUAGAGGACGGGUCUAUAGAGGACGGAUCUGUAGAGGACGGGUCUAUAGAGGACGGGUCUGUAGAGGACGGGUCUGUAGAGGACGGGUCUAUAGAGGACGGGUCUAUAGAGGACGGAUCUAUAGAGGACGGGUCUGUAGAGGACGGAUCUGUAGAGGACGGGUCUGUAGAGGACGGGUCUAUAGAGGACGGGUCUAUAGAGGACGGAUCUAUAGAGGACGGGUCUG